GACGAGGCCGCUAGAGUCGUUGAGGAUGUUAAGAAGGACCCCGAGGCGGCGACCAAUGGGAUCGUCUUGAGGAGGCGGCUGCAGCUUAUGAUGUACAACAACAUGUACAGGAUUAUGUUUGAUAGAAGAUUCGAGAGUCAGGAUGAUCCUUUGUUUAACAGAUUAAAGGCUUUGAAUGGUGAGAGGAGUCGGUUGGCCCAGAGCUUUGAGUACAAUUACGGUGAUUUUAUUCCCAUUUUGAGACCUUUCUUGAGAGGCUACUUGAAGAUUUGUAAGGAAGUAAAAGAAAGGAGACUCCAG
rnacentral:lncRNA from 1 species